UCUCGCAGCCAGGAAGGUCCUGGGAGAGGCGCGAGUCAGGCCUGGUCGGCGCUCGCGGAGAAAAGAACCAGUCAAGCCCAUGAACUACAACCACCGUUGCCGCUUUCGCCUCUCCUAACCGUUAAGUGCUCUAAGGGCCAUGGCUGAGGUGCACGUGAUCGGGCAGAUCAUGGGGGCCAGCGGUUUCUCGGAAAGUAGCCUCUUCUGCAAGUGGGGCAUUCACACAGGGAGUUGCUGGGGGUGUUGAUCCAGCCAAGAAUACUGAGGCAGUUGGAUGAAAGGCUUGGGCUCUGCAGUUAGAGCUGAGUCUGAAUUCAGUCCCAUGAUGGGACCUUGGUCUGCUAUAGUCACUGCUAUAUCACCAGGAUGGAAAACAGUGCUUGGCACAUAGCAGGUGCUGAAUAAAUGUUCAUGAACUCAC
rnacentral:sRNA from 1 species